rnacentral:rRNA from 1 species
AUGGCAAGAGCCUUACCAUGGCUAACCUUUUCAGCCACCCUGCUGCUGCUAGCAAGCAUCAAGAGCAGCACAGCGUCCAGGAUGGCGAAGCCUGGAUGCCAAGAAACAUGCGGCAACCUCACCAUCCCAUACCCCUUCGGCAUCGGUCAAGGUUGCUUCUACGGUCAAGGGUUCGAUGUUUCAUGCGAGAACAAUCGUGUUUUCAUGCAUAAUUCAAGCAGCCGAAUGGAGAUCUACAACAUCAGUCUGGUAGGAGGGCAGGCUCGAGUCAGCACCUUGAUUGCAUCCAAGUGCUCCUACAAAAAUGGCACCGACACAGAUUGGGGGGUUUCAUCAAAUACUGCCGAUUUGUUUACAAUAUCCAGCAAGGCGAACAAGCUAACAGUGGUUGGAUGCAACACCCUUGCAUUCCUUGGAGGCUUUAAUGAGCACAGAGCCGGAGCUGGGUGUUUCUCAAUGUGCCCUGACAAGCAAGGAGUGGACGGUAGUGGGCAGUGCUCUGGCAUGGGCUGUUGCCAGACAUCCAUCGCACCAAACCUCAAUUCCUUAAACAUAGGAUUCGAUGACAGGUAUAACAAUUCUGAGGUGCGUGAUUUCAACCCCUGCAGCUAUGCUUUUGUCGCCGAGCAGGAUUGGUUCAGGUUUGAGGCUUCAUACCUUGAUGAUGACAAGUUCAGGGAUAAGUUCAAGGAUGAGGUCCCUGCUGUGCUUGACUGGGUUGUUGGACAUGAAUCCUGUGAUGAAGCGGUCAAGAACACGACAUCGUAUGCCUGCAUUAGCAAGAAUAGCCACUGCAUCAUGUCAGCAAAUGCUACAGGCUAUCUCUGCACCUGCAACAAUGGCUUCGCAGGCAACCCCUACCUGGAAGAAGGAUGCCAAGAUAUCAACGAGUGCCGCUUUCCAGAUCAGUAUCCUUGCCAUGGAAUCUGCAGCAACGCGAUUGGGGACUACAUUUGUUCAUGCAACUCUGGAACUAGCAGCAUAGAUCCAAAGAGAGAAACCUGCAAACAAAUCACAGUUUCAGAAAGAGCUAGAUUAACAAAAAUGUUUAUAGGUAUUUCAUCAUGUGCUGUAAUUCUCCUUAUCUGCAUUUUUGCACUCCUGAUUGAAUGUCAGAAGAGAAAGCUGGUGAAAGAAAAGAAGAUAUUCUUCCAACAAAAUGGUGGCCUGCUAUUAUAUGAGCAAAUCAGGUCAAAGCAAGUUGAUACAGUAAGAAUAUUCACAAGGGAAGAACUAGAGAACGCAACAAACAAUUUUGAUUCAAGCAGAGAAUUAGGAAGGGGCGGCCAUGGAACUGUAUACAAGGGAAUUCUCAAAGAUGGCAGAGUGGUGGCCAUAAAGCGCUCAAAGGUUAUGAACAUGGACCAGAAAGAUGAAUUUGCGCAAGAGAUGGUUAUACUUUCACAGAUAAACCACAGGAAUGUGGUAAAGCUUCUAGGAUGUUGCUUAGAAGUGGAAGUUCCAAUGUUGGUCUAUGAAUGCAUCCCAAACGGCACCCUAUUCGAGCUGAUGCAUGGUAAAAACAGAAGACUUUCCAUCUCACUGGAUACACGUCUCAGGAUAGCUCAGGAAUCUGCAGAAGCAUUAGCAUAUCUGCACUCAUCAGCAUCCCCUCCCAUAGUUCAUGGAGAUGUAAAAUCUCCAAACAUUCUCCUAGGCGACAACUACACAGCAAAAGUGACUGAUUUUGGAGCAUCAAGAAUGCUUCCUACGGAUGAAAUACAAUUUAUGACAAUGGUACAGGGAACUAUAGGUUAUCUUGACCCUGAAUACUUGCAAGAGCGUCAACUAACAGAGAAGAGUGAUGUUUAUAGUUUUGGAGUUGUGCUCCUAGAGCUCAUUACAAUGAAGUUCGCAAUUUAUUCUGACAGUACUGGAGAAAAGAAAAACCUUGCAUCAUCCUUCCUUCUAGCAAUGAAAGAAAAUGGACUUCAAUUCAUCUUGGACAAGAAUAUAUUAGACUUCGAAGCGGAGCUGCUCCAAGAAAUUGCUCAACUGGCAAAGUGUUGCUUGAGUAUGAGGGGGGAAGAACGGCCAUUAAUGAGAGAUGUCGCUGAGAGGUUGAGAUCAAUAAGAAGCACCUGGAGAGAACAAUUGAUUCAGAAUCCUAGCAGGGAAACUGAAUGUUUGCUUGAGAACUCGUCACACUAUGACCCUUCUAGCACUGGACAGCAUGGAAGUCUGAUGGCGCUAGAUCUGGAAAGUGGUAGAUGA